rnacentral:lncRNA from 1 species
GCCGAAGAAACCUGACCCUACUCGUUCCUAAUUAAAAGAAAAUGGUUUAAUCUCUAAAAUCCCAAAGAACACCCACGCGACUAUGCUUCUUUUUCUCCAAAAGCACCUGAAUCCAGCCCUAACAAUGUCCAAAUUCGAGCGAUCUCUCCUCAUGCGUUCUCCUUUCUCUCCUCUUACCACAGAUAACCAUUUCUGACACUGAAGAUUCUCAUUCCCUUCGCUCGCUCGAUUUGGAGAUAAGGCACGUGAUUAGAAGCUUCUGGGAACGAUUUGGUGGAUGAGUGUGAGGCGUUGGAUUGAUUUCACUUAAUCCAAGCCCCACAUUCGAUUUGGAGAUAAGGCACGCGAUUGGAAGCUUCUGGGAACGAUUUGCUGGAUGAGUGUGAGGCGUUGGAUUGAUUUCACUCAAUUCAAGCCCAACAUUCAUCAGGAAUCCAUUUUCUAAAGGAGCUCGAUCCGAUUUCGAAAGGGGGACUGAAAAAAAAUUCAGAGAAAAAGGGUUUUAAGGUUUCUAAAAUGAACUUCUGGUUUUAAAAUUUUUGGUUUUUUUUGAAGAGUUCUUUCAAGGUGUAAGGGGAACAUAUAUAUAAAAUUGUUUAUCUUUGAAUUUGGUUUGUUGAAUUCUUAAGAGAUAGAAAUGAAUGAAGGUCGUUCAACUGAUGGUGAGAUUUAAGCUUGUCGACUUCGAUUUUCUACUGUCAUCUUGAUGGUUGCAGCUGAACCUCAUUAGGAUUUGGAGUCGAAAGGUGUGUUUUCGAGUCUCUAAUUAUCAGGAAGUUUGAAAUAUCAAAUAAAAUUUCUUUUCUCUUCUACAUUUAUAUUUCAAAGUGUUUGGAAUGGUGAGGUUUUGUUCAAUGGUAUUCUGUCAUGUGAUUCAAUUUUUUGUUGAUGAAUUUCUUCUCAAUGGUGUAAUGUGUUUGGGUAUAUUCAGCCACUAGAAGCUGAGUUUGAAGGGUCAUCUUCUGUUUAGUUGCUAUCAUGAUAUCGAGUUUUUAUGUAAGUCAGGAUUUCAAUUUUUCGGGUCUAAAAGUCUAUUGGAAUGGUUCUGGUGUGGAAAUGGGACAGCCUAUUUAAGGUUGGAUGUGUGCUUGAGUCGCUGCAUCACUGAACAAUAUCAGCUCUUUCUCUGUUGAUUUGAGCUUGCAAUUUGUUGUGCCUUGAUCAAUAUAGGAUUUGUGGUUCCUUUUUAGCUUCAAUAUAAGCUCAUAAAAUCUGUAAACGAUUGUUUUUUGGUGUUCAUCACGACCUGCUAUGAAAGUUGAGAAAUAAGCAAUUCAGUGCUUGUUUUAAAGCUGUAAAUGGUCUAAAUUGCAGGUGUCAAAGAUAAUGUCAUUGCUGGGCUCAUUGCAGCUUCAUUUCUUCCUAACACAAUCAGAUAUAGAUAGAUUUCGUGGUUGUUCAUGAACAUCUCACUUGUAUGGCCAAGUUUAAGGCAGAGUGAAUUCUGAAAUUGUCCUUUACAGUUUGAUACAAGUCUUGUCUGGUUUGAUGCACUAGCUUUUUGCCUUACUGAGUGAUAAUUGCACUCGAGAAUCCUCUUUACUCGACCUAAAACAGUUGGCAUCCUUGGUGGAUGUUCUUAUUGGUUUGUUGUUUGAUUCUCUGCUUUAUCUUAACAUGAUUAAACAAUCACAAGGUAAGAUCAAUAUGUGACUAAAGUUAUGGAUUCUAUCAAUUUGUUUAGAAAUAGAUAAUGGGAGUUAAGGCCAGUAGAAUCAGAUUGUUACGAGUUGAAGCAUCAAUGAGUUUACAGGGACCCCCUAUCAUUAAAUACGUUAUGUGUUGUUGAGGGCAAUCACAUUUCUUCUGCUCAAUUCCU